AUAUUGGGCAAUGGAGGAAACUCUGACCCAGCGACGCCGCGUGCGGGAUGAAGGCCUUCGGGUCGUAAACCGCUGUGGAGAGGGAAGAAGACCUGACGGUACCUCUCUAGAAAGUGACUGCUAACUACGUGCCAGAAGCCUCGGUAAUACGUAGGUCACAAGCGUUAUCCGGAAUUACUGGGCGUGAAGAGUGUCGUAGGCGGCAAAGUGUGUGGCAGGUUAAAAACCCCGGCUCAACUGGGGGAGUGCUUGUCAAACUACCUUGCUAGAGUUAGUUCGGGGAUGCUGGAAUUCUCAGUGGAGGGGUGAAAUCCGUUGAUAUUGAGAAGAACACCAAAGGCGAAGGCAGGCAUCUAGGACUUAACUGACGCUGAUGAACGAAAGCUAGGGGAGCGAAC
rnacentral:rRNA from 1 species